UACGUAGGUGGCAAGCGUUGUUCGGAUUUACUGGGCGUAAAGAGCGCGCAGGCGGUCGUGCAAGUCGCGUGUGAAAGCCCCCGGCUCAACUGGGGAGGGUCACGCGAUACUGCUCGACUCGAAGGCAGGAGAGGGAAGUGGAAUUCCCGGUGUAGUGGUGAAAUGCGUAGAUAUCGGGAGGAACACCAGUGGCGAAGGCGGCUUCCUGGCCUGUUCUUGACGCUGAGGCGCGAAAGCUAGGGUAGCAAACGGG
rnacentral:rRNA from 1 species